rnacentral:lncRNA from 1 species
AUCUAUAUAUAGAUAUAGAUACUGAUAGAUAUAUAUUCAUUGAGAAAGCUGCUUAUAAUUUGAGAAUAUUAGUCAUGGAGUUUUCACACAUUUACUGGUUUCGUACUACCACAUGUUUUCCUCCUGCCUCUCUUUUCCAUCUUUAGCUUAAAAAAGGGAAAGAAGAGGAGGAGGAGGAGGAGGAAGGGGAGAAGCAGGAGGAGGAAGCAGAGAAGGAGGAGGAGGAGGAGAAAAGGAUUUGAAGAAAUUGAAUCAGUUCUGGAACAGCAGACACAGUUUAUCUUUUAGCAGUUCUGAAAUCAAAGUGCCUAAAAGGAGUCCACCCGGGUAUGUGGAAGCAAGAGGGAGUUAAUGACAAUGGAUUCACAAUGCUGAAGGUCAGAAAUUCCGGGAAUUUGAGGCCCCAAGACACCCCAUAGGUGGGGUACAGGUGGGUCAAAAAACAGG